UGGACUGAAACUGAUGGCAUGGCACGGUUCUCUGCUUUCUUGUAGUGUCAGUAGUGAUAUGUCAUUGGCUUUGUACAUUAGUUCGAUUGUUUGUUUUCGUCUAGGUUAAGGACUAGCUGAUUUAAAAAAAAAUAUCUUUAUUAGAAGUUUCAUUGCAGGAAUGUGUUAUCUACAGAAAUGAGAAAUAACAUGAGUGUCACAGAAGUUGGGCUUCAGCGUUGGUCUUGAAGUAGUGACAGCAAG
rnacentral:lncRNA from 1 species